GUAAGUGAGGAUGCCUUGAGAUCUGGGUUCAAAUCUUGCGUCUGCUGCUCCCUGGCCCAGUGACCUCGCACCUCUCUGAGCCUCAGUUUCUUCUUCUGUAAAAUAAAGGGAGUGGCAUCUCCCUCUUGCCCGGAGGUGGGCCUGGGGGCUGCAGGCUGCCCUCCUGAUCUGCUCUGCUGCCAGAUGGGCACAGAUAGGCGGGGGGAUGACAGCCCUGAGUGAACCCAGAAGGCAAAGUGGUUAGGAACACACCCCAGAGGCCAGGCAGGGUCCUGCAGGGUCCUGCAGAUUCAGAGAAAGAACCCAUUUAUCCUGGGGUUUGGCAGAGAUUAUGGUUCCGGUAAAGGGUGGUCAUUAGUAAAGUCCAUGUCAUGCAGCCGAGGGCCUGUGGGAAAGGUAGGGUUCAAGGAGGAGUUAGUGGGAGAGGAGAGUGAGGAAUCAGAGUUGGUCAGUCAGACAGUCAGUCAACAAACACAAACUGAGCAUGGCCUCUGUGCCAGGCAUGGUUUUAGGCUGUGGAUAACCAAGGAGCUUGCUCAGCAGCCUGGGGUUCUUUGCAGCCCAGGGUGUCCCUGUCAGGAGUGGGCACUGUGUCUCUGAGGAGCAGUGGAGUCACCUGCAGGCCAAGGCUGGGAAACCCUCAGGAGUGUGGGGGAGGCCACCCCCUGAGGUGUGGUCCCCCCCUGGGUAGAGAGUGACUCAGGCCCCGCCCAGCCUCCCCACUGCCUGGGUUUGGUUUGUUUAAGAACAAAUUAGUCACAGAGCAGGCAGCUUUCCCGAAAAUAAAAUGAGAAUCCCCAGGAAACAGGGAAAAUGGAAGGCGGGCGGCUCUGCAAGUCCGACCUGGGUGCCCCAGAGAGCUGCUCCGGGAAAGACGUUUACCUGCUGCCCAGAGCUGGGACUGCAGACCCUGAUUGGCGAGGGCUUGGAGAGUAGCUGAGAACCUUCCCUUCAGCUACUGAAGACCAGACAGGGCUUUCUGUAUCACGCUGCCUGACGAUGAUGAGGGUGCAGUGACUAAGAGUGCAGAUGAAAGGCCCAGCUCUCCAACCAGGUGGAUGGAUUUGCAAGGAGCUUCUAUCUGGGCGUGGUGGCUCAUGCCUGUAAUCCCAGCACUUUGGGAGGCUGGUCUUGAACUCCUGACCUCAGGUGAUCCCCCCCACCUUGGCCUCCCAAAGUGCUGGGAUUACAGAGGUGGCUCUUUUAAUUGACUCCUCUCCAGGCAUCUCUCCUUCCAGCCACAGAGCCUGGCCUGAUGGUCCCAGGGCCCCAGGGCCCCAGGUGAAGGCCUCUCUCCUCCCCCACUCAGGUCUGACCAGCUCUGUUUCCAUCCUGGUGUGGGCACAAGGUCUCUUGCUGCAGCUGGGCCAGUUUGCUGACCUUCUCAGCUCCUUCUCUUAGACUGGAGAGGCCUGGAAGGGUGCCCGAGGGAGGGUCUGGGCUGCUCUCCUGGGCUCCUCCCCUCCACUCCAGGACUCUGGCUGGAGCCUGGUCAGGGUCCUUACUGAGUUCUCAGCCAAGCGCCAGCCCUGUGAUGGCCUGAGGGGUCUGGUGGGGAAGCCCCAAAGUGAGGGCUCCAUAGCCCUCACUGUCCCUCCCCCAGCAUUGUGCAGUGCCGGCGGUCUCUGAGUUCUUCUGGGUAGCCUUUCUACCACAUCCUCUUGCCUACUUUCACCAGGUGGCCAAGGGACACUAAAAAAGGCAGUGAAUAGCUAGAGGACCACUCUUGAAAAUCAGCCUGCCUUCCUCCUGGUGCCAGCUCCUGUCCCUCCGGCCUCCUUUUCAUAGAAUUCUACAACAGGAGGAAACAGAGAGGUCAUCUCCUCCACCUUCACCAAGUUUCCAGAACGGAUGGGUUAGAGGGAUCUGGCGUUCUCUGAGGCUUCGGGCCAAACCUUGGACAUUGGGCUGGCCAGAGAUCUUGCUGGGGUUGCCUUGGGAAUUGUAUAUCCAUUGGGAGCACUAGCCCUGAACACCUGGGGCUCCCCACCUGCUAGGAGCUGGGAGGACUCUGGUGUUCCCUGCAACCCCCCAGGGUCUGGGUGGACGGAAUGGCAGCCCAGGACUGUUCCCCAGGCUGACCUGGACUCUGAUGAGAGCCAAGAGUGGACCUAGCUGUCAUUUAGAUCCCUGGGGGAGCCUUCACAGUAGCUGCCAAGCAGAGGUCCUGGCACUGGGGAGGGUUCUCACACGUAGGAGGGGCAGUACUUAAGCAAGUAACAGUGGAGAGGGCACUGGAUUUGACAUCAGCUGAGAGGUGGUCCGUUUCUGCUUCUCUCACUGCUUAUCUGUGAUCUGAGGCAAGCCUAAACUCCUCUACAGCUUAGUUUACUCAUCUGGAAAGUGUGGUAUAUUUUAUUUUACCUGCCUUACAUCUGAGGCAUGGAGGAAGGACGGAAUGAGAUCACCUAUUAAAAUGCAUUUUGAAAAAACAAAAGUGCUAUUUAUGCAAACACAUGGUACUAAAAAUAAAAGAUGCCUGUUUGCUUCUGGAAGUAAAAGUUGUGAAUGAUGCCGGGCGCUGUGGCUCACACCUGUAAUCCCAGCACUUUGGGAGGUCAAGGCGGGUGGAUCACAAGGUCGAGAGAUCGAGACCAACCUGGCCGACAUGGGGAAACCCCAUCUCUACUAAAAAUACCAAAAAAAUUAGCUGAGCACGGUGGCACACGCCUGUAGUCCCAGCUACUCAGGAGGCUGAGGCAGGAGAAUCACUUGAACCCGGGAGGCGGAGGUUGCAGUGAGCCGAGAUUGCGCCAUUGCACUCCUGCACUCCAGCCUGGUGACAGAGCGAGACCAUCCG
rnacentral:lncRNA from 10 species